GACGAACGCUGGCGGCGUGCUUAACACAUGCAAGUCGAGCGGUAAGGCCCUUCGGGGUACACGAGCGGCGAACGGGUGAGUAACACGUGGGUGACCUGCCCUUCACUCUGGGAUAAGCCCGGGAAACUGGGUCUAAUACCGGAUAUGACCUUCCUCUGCAUGGGGGUUGGUGGAAAGUUUUUCGGUGAGGGAUGGGCCCGCGGCCUAUCAGCUUGUUGGUGGGGUGAUGGCCUACCAAGGCGACGACGGGUAGCCGGCCUGAGAGGGCGACCGGCCACACUGGGACUGAGACACGGCCCAGACUCCUACGGGAGGCAGCAGUGGGGAAUAUUGCGCAAUGGGCGAAAGCCUGACGCAGCGACGCCGCGUGGGGGAUGACGGCCUUCGGGUUGUAAACCUCUUUCGCCAGGGACGAAGCGURAGUGACGGUACCUGGAUAAGAAGCACCGGCCAACUACGUGCCAGCAGCCGCGGUAACACGUAGGGUGCGAGCGUUGUCCGGAAUUAUUGGGCGUAAAGAGCUCGUAGGCGGUGUGUCGCGUCGGCCGUGAAAACCUGGGGCUUAACUCUGGGCUUGCGGUCGAUACGGGCAUCACUGGAGUUCGGCAGGGGAGACUGGAAUUCCUGGUGUAGCGGUGAAAUGCGCAGAUAUCAGGAGGAACACCGGUGGCGAAGGCGGGUCUCUGGGCCGAUACUGACGCUGAGGAGCGAAAGCGUGGGGAGCGAACAGGAUUAGAUACCCUGGUAGUCCACGCCGUAAACGUUGGGCGCUAGGUGUGGGGGCCAUUCCACGGUCUCUGUGCCGCAGCUAACGCAUUAAGCGCCCCGCCUGGGGAGUACGGCCGCAAGGCUAAAACUCAAAGGAAUUGACGGGGGCCCGCACAAGCGGCGGAGCAUGUGGAUUAAUUCGAUGCAACGCGAAGAACCUUACCUGGGUUUGACAUGCACCAGACAUCCCUAGAGAUAGGGCUUCCCUUGUGGUUGGUGUGCAGGUGGUGCAUGGUUGUCGUCAGCUCGUGUCGUGAGAUGUUGGGUUAAGUCCCGCAACGAGCGCAACCCUUGUUCCAUGUUGCCAGCGCGUAGUGGCGGGGACUCAUGGGAGACUGCCGGGGUCAACUCGGAGGAAGGUGGGGAUGACGUCAAAUCAUCAUGCCCCUUAUGUCCAGGGCUUCACACAUGCUACAAUGGCCAGUACAGAGGGCUGCGAGACCGUGAGGUGGAGCGAAUCUCUUAAAGCUGGUCUCAGUUCGGAUUGGGGUCUGCAACUCGACCCCAUGAAGUUGGAGUCGCUAGUAAUCGCAGAUCAGCAACGCUGCGGUGAAUACGUUCCCGGGCCUUGUACACACCGCCCGUCACGUCACGAAAGUUGGUAACACCCGAAGCCGGCGGCCCAACCCUUGUGGAGGGAGUCGUCGAAGGUGGGACUGGCGAUUGGGACG
rnacentral:rRNA from 1 species